rnacentral:rRNA from 1 species
GACGAACGCUGGCGGCGUGCUUAACACAUGCAAGUCGAACGGAAAGGCCCUGCUUUUGUGGGGUGCUCGAGUGGCGAACGGGUGAGUAACACGUGAGUAACCUGCCCUUGACUUUGGGAUAACUCCAGGAAACUGGGGCUAAUACCGGAUAGGAGCUCCUGCUGCAUGGUGGGGGUUGGAAAGUUUCGGCGGUUGGGGAUGGACUCGCGGCUUAUCAGCUUGUUGGUGGGGUAGUGGCUUACCAAGGCUUUGACGGGUAGCCGGCCUGAGAGGGUGACCGGCCACAUUGGGACUGAGAUACGGCCCAGACUCCUACGGGAGGCAGCAGUGGGGAAUAUUGCACAAUGGGCGGAAGCCUGAUGCAGCGACGCCGCGUGCGGGAUGACGGCCUUCGGGUUGUAAACCGCUUUCGCCUGUGACGAAGCGUGAGUGACGGUAAUGGGUAAAGAAGCACCGGCUAACUACGUG